CCCUUAGAUGUUCUGGGCCGCACGCGCGCUACACUGAUGCAUUCAACGAGUCUAAAACCUGCUCUGAUAGGGGUGGGUAAUCUUUUGAAUGUGCAUCGUGAUUGGGAUAGAUGAUUGAAAUUUUUCAUCUUCAACGAGGAAUGCCUAGUAAACGCAAGUCAUCAGCUUGCAUUGAUUACGUCCCUGCCCUUUGUACACACCGCCCGUCGCUCCUACCGAUUGAAUGAUCCGAUGAAUAUCAUGGAUUGAGGAUGCAAGUAGGUCCACCUAUCUUCAUCUUCGAGAAGUGAAGUAAAUCUUAUCAUUUAGAGGAAGGAGAAGUCGUAACA
rnacentral:rRNA from 1 species